CAAAACAAAAGCAGCAGGCGUACAACAUUAACACAAAAGAUUAAACCUGAAUUAAAUGAAGGGAGUUAAACACUCAUGGAGGGUGGGAUUGAGACAGUGCCCCUCCUCCUAGCGUACCACUAGGUGUCUCGUAAAGAAGAUACAACCCUCUUCUCCAGCGACGGACAUCAAGCAAGAGCAACACUGUACAGCCAGGAGCAGGAGUGUUGUCGAUGAUCCAGAGGUUGGUGGGCUUGGCAAAGAAGGGCCAGGGGGACUUUGGACCACUGGCUUCAGCCUUAUAGACCUUGGGAGCUUCAGCUGGACCUACUCUUUUCACAGGGAACGGGACAAUGAACAGUGAGAGGGGCAGCUUGUAGGACUCAACUUGCAGUGGAGAGCUGCUCUGGCUUGACACCGUGUGUUGGCGCCACGUCAUAUAUGCUUGGACAGAGCAGGAACAUGGUGUUUGGUGGCCAUAAAGACACUGGAAGAGCCACCAGAACCAUCUACAAGAGAAAGAUAGUGUGCAAGUUACCCAGUCACCAUGCAAACAACACAAGAUUCUGAGAGGAUGGGUUCAGGUGGAGCUUAUCUUUGGCUUGCUGAUUUAAGAGCUACGCCUGAAGGAGGAAGUUGAGCCUCUCGUCUGCAGCUUCCCUGACAGAUAAUAAAAAAGACUGACUGAUACUCAUCAAUCGCCAACUUGUGCCUAGGAUCCAGAUUGCCGGAGCUGAGUCUGGGCAGAAGUGCCAGUGGAUGCACACACAUUGACUAGAGUGAAACCACAGCUCGACUGUUGUGGCGAAGCAGGGACGGCCUGAACAUGCAUCGGGUAGAAGUUCCCUGUUACCACAUCUUAUUUAUAGUUAAAGUUAAGACUGACUGUAUUCUACUCUUUAAUGCGCCUGCUGCUUUAUUUUCACCUCCCAUAUUUUGUUUCUUCCCUACAGUUUGUAACAAUGUUUGUAUUUAAUUUCCGCUGCAUGUUGGGCUGACAGAGAGUUACAGUCAGAAUGAUUAAUCCACGACGCAUGGAUAAUAUUCAGGACACUGUCUCAGUGGCUUCAGAGUAUCAUAUCAGGGAUAAAAACAUCCCCAGCACCACCCACACAAUUUCUACAUCUAAUCAGGUUAAUCAUCACAGAUGUAUGAUCCUCAUUCAGCAGUUUGUUUAACCUAAUACUCAUACUCAUCAGUGAAUCCAGUCACAGCUUCCUCUCUUUCUGUUUUGUGUGGAAUCAGAGCUGUAAUCACUUCCAUAUUCUGAUCCCACCUGGUGGAUCCAUAUUUCCUCCCGUCUGUAUCAGCAGCAGGCAGCGAGCCAGUCAGACCGCGUGUGAAAGGUCGACCGUCGAUCUGAGUCAUUACUCACUUUGUAUCAGUGUAACACAUCAGUGACGCAGUUUAUGCCCCAAGGUCAGAGCACAGUGAUGGAUUAUGAGUUUACCCGGCUUUGAACUGCACGAGACAGAGACAGAUUCAGUGAAUCAGAGGGAGGCCAUUUCCUCCGCAAACUUUUACACUGAAACAUCAAAGCGGCCGUAUGAUGAAUGACCACCGUGUCCUCCUGAGUGGGACGAUGAAGCACAGUCGCCAUCACUUUGAGCAUCAUGUGAACAUAUUAUUCUUCUGUUUGACAUCACUAAGACAUAACAAAAGGGCACACACGCCAAUGUGGACUCACAAAAAUACUCUGAGCGCCUCAGUAUGCGGUGGUACUUCUGGUAAAUCAAGAGCUCACACCUUGAGAAAAAUGAGGACGAAAGCAGAAAAAAAUUUAUGUGAA